rnacentral:rRNA from 1 species
GGGCAGCAUUCCAGUUUGCUUGCAAACUGGAGAUGGCGACCGGCGCACGGGUGAGUAACACGUAUCCAACCUGCCGAUAACUCGGGGAUAGCCUUUCGAAAGAAAGAUUAAUACCCGAUGGCAUAAUAGAACCGCAUGGUUUGAUUAUUAAAGAAUUUCGGUUAUCGAUGGGGAUGCGUUCCAUUAGGCAGUUGGUGGGGUAACGGCCCACCAAACCUUCGAUGGAUAGGGGUUCUGAGAGGAAGGUCCCCCACAUUGGAACUGAGACACGGUCCAAACUCCUACGGGAGGCAGCAGUGAGGAAUAUUGGUCAAUGGACGAGAGUCUGAACCAGCCAAGUAGCGUGAAGGAUGACUGCCCUAUGGGUUGUAAACUUCUUUUAUAUGGGAAUAAAGUGGUCCACGUGUGGAUUUUUGUAUGUACCAUAUGAAUAAGGAUCGGCUAACUCCGUGCCAGCAGCCGCGGUAAUACGGAGGAUCCGAGCGUUAUCCGGAUUUAUUGGGUUUAAAGGGAGCGUAGGUGGACAGUUAAGUCAGUUGUGAAAGUUUGCGGCUCAACCGUAAAAUUGCAGUUGAUACUGGCUGUCUUGAGUACAGUAGAGGUGGGCGGAAUUCGUGGUGUAGCGGUGAAAUGCUUAGAUAUCACGAAGAACUCCGAUUGCGAAGGCAGCUCACUGGACUGCAACUGACAUUGA